rnacentral:misc_RNA from 1 species
GCGCAUGGAGGGUUUGGGAAACAAGGCAAUGGAUAGUUACCUUAAAGGUAUUGGAUUUCACGGUGGCAAGGCAAAGGCCUUGUAUAGCAGAGACGGUCAUCUAGGUGUUACCCUGGUUAAGUUUGCAAGUGACCAAUCAGGUUUGACGGAAGCCAUGCGGUUAGCUGAAUAUUUUGAGAAAGAUAAUCAUGGGAGAAAUGGUUGGGCUCGACUGCAGCCCUUGACUCUAGGCAAGGAUGAUGAGAACAAUCCUGACCUUUGCAAGUAUGAUCAUCGGACUGGAGAGAAGAAGAGGGUCUUCUAUGGUUACCUGGGCACUGUUAACGACUUAGAGAAGGUUGAUUUCGACUUCCGAAAGAAGAUAACCAUCGCUAGCCGAUCGGAUUACAAGCCAUCUGGUUAGAACCAGGUCAAUAGAUUUGUGUUUGAGAUAUGCUUAAGUUGAGAGUAUUACUCAAUUCUCUAUUCUAGAUAUUGUCGUUUCGUGUUACUUGUGUUGCCCUUAGGAAUCCGAGAGUUGGGGCUCUCUGGUACAACGGUAGGACUAAGAUAUUAAUGCCAUGCAUGUCUCUUCCCUUCUCUUGUAGUGAAACAUCUCUGGCACAAGAUUAGUGGUUUUGAAGUCCAAUGGACUUGCUGUUUGUUCUCGUCCUUCCUCUAUUUGAGGCUGGGUGUACCAAUGAUCAUGGUUCAUAAAUUUGUCUCAAGGUUUAAUGUAGGGUUCCCCUGCAGGUAUUAGUACAAAACUAUGCCUCAAAACUUUGACCUGAAAACGAGGAAUUCGUUAUUGCAGGUUAAUAUCUUAAGCACUACUAGUCUCACUAGAUUGCAAUCAGAAGCAUAAAGUUCUGGUGCAAGUUUAGCUAAAGCAGUAUUAUCUUGCUCUGCUUUAAGAUUGUUUUAUUUUACUGGGUAAAUUUGAG